rnacentral:rRNA from 1 species
AAACUUUCAACAACGGAUCUCUUGGCUCUCGCAUCGAUGAAGAACGCAGCGAAAUGCGAUAAGUAAUGUGAAUUGCAGAAUUCAGUGAAUCAUCGAAUCUUUGAACGCACAUAGCGCCCUUUGGUAUUCCUUAGGGCAUACCUGUUCGAGCGUCACUG